CCCCCCCCCUCCCCCCGGUUUGACACCCCCUCCCGCCCCGCUCCGCCCUCCUCCCCGCCCCGCCGGUUGUCCCUCCGUAAACGGAAGCCGAGGAGGGACGAAGGAGCCGGGGAGGAGGUUGGAGCAGCGCGAUGGGGGACUCCAAAGUGAAGGUGGCGGUGCGCGUCCGCCCCACGAACCGGCGAGCGGCCGAGAGUCAUGAAUGCCUCACAACUGGUGACUGCAGAGCUAGAAAAUGGAAUGACAACAGCUCAGCAGCCGCUUUAGAGACAGCCAGCGUGGCUUCGCCGAGGGCAAAUCGUGCCCGACUAAUCCAGCGGCCUUCCAUGAUGGAGUGACGGCAUUAGAGGACGAGGGAAGAGCUACGGAUGUCACCUGCCUGGAGGACGUCAGUGAGGCACGGACAGUUUUGCAGGCAUCCAUGAGUGAAGGACCAGAGUACCUCAAUCUGUCCCUUCAACAAUCCUUCCCCGCUCCAUGUUUUCAAUUGGAAACCGCACCAGUGAGCUCCUAAAUCCAGGUAUCAUGUACACCAGUGAAGCGGAGGUCUGGAAGCAGAGACAGAAGCAAGGUCUAAGUAUCAGAGCUGGGCUUCAUUUUCCCAGCGGCGCCUCUGCAGAAGUGGAGCAAAACCAACAUGAUUCAGCAGAUGAAGCUGUAAAAUAUUCCAACCUUUGAAGUCAAGGCAGUUCAGCCCUGACCAUUCAUGUAUCUCAGAAGUACUAGGAGAUAAACGCGGGAAACAUUACACAGCUCGACUGAAAAGCAAGAUAAACCUGAAGGCAAACUUAUCGUACCAGAAUAAAACUCUUUACUCCUGGGACUGGCCAAAACAACAAUCUAUGAAAAAUGCAAAACAGCAACAGGUCUUGUUUUUAAACUGUUUCGCCAAAUAUUUUUGUGCUGAGAACCUGAUCACUGAAGAUGCUAAAGUGCUGCUGGCUGCCCUGAAUGCCUCCCAGUCUCUGACUGGGACUGUCCCAGUUGGUGCUCAGCUUCUUGCAGAAGUGGACCCCUUAAGAGUUUGCAUACAACUAACUAAACACUAGUAAGAUCCUCUGUUUUAGUUUUCCAACACCUGAAUGAUUUAUGGGCAGAAAGUAGGUCUACUGCAAAUUCAUAAUUGAUGCGUCUCUUUUGAUACGCAGUCUAACAAAUGAAAAAAAAUAUUUAAAAUACAAUUGAUUUGUUACUUGUUAUGGACUGGAAGAAGACUUCCAAAAGACUGUCAUGUUUUCUGGCUUGCCCUGAGAUACAGUUCUAUCUAGAAGAUCCGAGAUCCAAACCAUUCAUACCUUCACCUAAAUAAAAACAAAAGCCAUCUUCUUCCCUUGGGUCCUGGUGAUACACACACCCCAGCCAUCCCAGUUAUGUGGGACACAUUAAACUGUUUUGACUUGGUUACUUCUAAACAAAACCAAUGAAAUUCAGUUGCUUAUAAAAAAAUGAGACGGAGGCCCUCUUUUUCUCUCCUCCACAUCACUGCUUUAAUCCCUGCUAUGACCAGGUGGGUGUAGCAAUGACUGUAGCUCCUCAACCUGAUGAAAAUAGUGUUGCAUUCAGAAAUUCGAUAAAUGAAUGGGAGGGACAAGUAAUGCUUCCCCCCCCCCCCCCCCCCCCCCCCCGGAUGUUUUGUUAAUUAAAUUAGCAUUUAAAUAGCCAGAGCUAAUCUGGGAAGUCAGGCCCUCAUUACAGUAACUAGGAAGGGGGAAAAGAGCUGCAGACAAUUCCCUACAAGAUGGGGUUAAGUUGGCGUUUCACAAACUAUUUGCCCAGCCUGUCCCUCCCAAGUGAAAGCUGCCACCCCCCCCACCCCACCCCCCCUUUCCUCCCAGAAUAAUUAGCAUGUUCCAGUGCUGUGAAUGGAAACAAUAUCCUCCCUCCAAGCUGUGCCCCUCCAGGGAGAUGCUUCCCACAGAUUGUGAAACUCUGAGCCAGGGAAAGGGCUUGCCGAGGAAUUCACAGUGGGGUAAUUACACUGAGGUAGCUUGUGCCCGGUGCAAGAUAAGUUGCAUUACUGUAAUUCAUUGCAGGAGGCAGGGGCUCGCAUAAAGGAAAUGUCCAGAGGCAAGACUGCAGAGCCAUGAGAAGUCAUCGCCUUCCCAGAGCCCCGAUAAAACCCGACGUUGAAGCUGAGGAUGGUUCUUUGGCCUCCGAGGAUGUCUCCGUCUUCAGAGAAGUUUGCAGAACGUAGCAACGAUCACGUGCGAAUCUGGUUUCUCUUUGGCAAUUAGAAUGGAAGAAAGGUUGAAAGGGUGACUCAACAGAAAAAACAUCACCCUCCACUUGCGGCUCAUCAUGCCCAGCUGUAAAGCGGGGAUUAUAUUUACCUCCAUUGCAAAGUACUCGGUUUCAGAAGACGUUGGUGCGGUUUGCUGAGGCCCCGGCUGGAAAAUACCACAAGAAGUUCAAAGCCCGGUUUCAUCCUGUAAUUGGAUCCUCAAGUCCACAAGUGCAAGAACCAACUGUGCGGGCUGACAGCAGGUCCUCCCCUCUUCCAACAAGAACCCCACCACAACACGGGGCUGUGGGGCUGAGCUGCAAGCGUGGCAUACCCAGGAGCUGCUACUUUCUGCUGCUAUGCACAAAAAAAUGUUGUUUAAAGCUUUUGCCACCCUGUUUGAUCUGACCUGCUGUUAUUUUUUCUUUCUUUUUUUUUUUUUUUUAACUCUAAGACAUCUUCUUAACUCUCAUGCUCACUUGGGAUGCUCUUAAGAACAUGGACUUUAAUCCCAGUGUUACUUAAAUACCAAUUUAAUAUUUGUUUUCUCUCUGCCUUGACAAGAUAUUCCUCAGGUCAAGCAGGCAUGAAAUGAUAGAUAUUGAGUGCAAUUCUUCUGGGCAAGAAGAGCUACCUUCUAAGAUCUUAUCUCAAAACCACUUGGAAAUGUGUUCUUUAUUUAUUUAUGCCAUAAAAUCUCAUUCGAUGUUGAAGGCCCAAAGGAUUACAAUUCUGAAUUUGUUGGUUUGCUGUUUUGUUUUCUUUUUUUUUUUCCCCCCGUCCUUGCUGAAAUCUGGCCUUUCAAAAUAACACAGAGAGAAUCUUUGUUUUGAUCUAAAAUAGCAGCUGCAAGGGCUUUUAAAUGACCAUUUAAAUGAGAUUUCUUUUUUUGCAUCUUCGCAUUAUAGUUUCAUUCUCGGUCUCUGAGAUCAGUAGCUGCGGUUGAGCAGCCGAGCCGUCUAAUGGGAAUAAAUUGUAAUAUUGUUCCAA